rnacentral:rRNA from 1 species
AUGGCUAGACGAGGGCUUAACUGUCUCCCCCCUCCAGUCAGUGAAAUUGAUCUAUCCGUGCAGAAGCGGGUAUAAUUAUACAAGACGAGAAGACCCUUUGGAGCUUAAGGUACAAAAUUCAGCCAUGUUAAACAACUCCGUAGAAAGCAAGAACUUAAUGGCCAUGAGAUUUUACCUUCGGUUGGGGCGACCGCGGAGGAAAAGCAAGCCUCCGAGUGGACUGGGCCAAGACCCCUAAAGCCAAAAGAAACAUCUUUAAGCCGCAGAACAUCUGACCAACAAUGAUCCGACUAAAAAGCCGAUCAACGGACCAAGUUACCCUAGGGAUAACAGCGCAAUCCUCUCCCAGAGCCCAUAUCGACGAGGGGGUUUACGACCUCGAUGUUGGAUCAGGACAUCCUGAUGGUGCAGCCGCUAUCAAGGGUUC